UGGGGAAUAUUGCACAAUGGGGGGAACCCUGAUGCAGCAACGCCGUGUGAAGGAAGAAGUGUUUCGGCACGUAAACUUCUAUCGACAGGGAAGAAAAAAAUGACGGUACCUGAAUAAGAAGCACCGGCUAAAUACGUGCCAGCAGCCGCGGUAAUACGUAUGGUGCAAGCGUUAUCCGGAAUUACUGGGUGUAAAGGGUGAGUAGGCGGUUAUAUAAGUCAUAUGUGAAAGACUGAGGCUCAACCACAGAGUUGCAUAAGAAACUAUAUAACUAGAGUGCAGGAGAGGUAAGCGGAAUUCCUAGUGUAGCGGUGGAAUGCGUAGAUAUUAGGAAGAACACCGGUGGCGAAGGCGGCUUACUGGACUGAAACUGACGCUGAGUCACGAAAGCGUGGGGAGCGAACAG
rnacentral:rRNA from 1 species